GAAAAAGAACACUGAGGUAGGGAAAUAGUGUCUCCAUCUCUUCUUCCUAGUAUUCAUGUCUACCAAAUGCUUUCUUUGGCUUCCUCUGAAAGAAGCCAGUUUCAGCAAGUGAGUUUGUGAUUCUUUCUCCUUUCAGGUACCUGUUUCCCAGGCAACUACUGAUCAGGCAUUUCUGGACCCCAAAACAACAAACUGAUUUCUUAGAUAUCUAUCAUGCUUUCCGGAAGCAGUCCCACCCAGAAAUUAUUAGUUAUUUAGAAAAGGUCAUCCCUCUCAUUUCUGAUGCAGGACUCCGGUGGCGUCUGACAGAUCUGUGCACCAAGAUACAGCGUGGUACCCACCCAGCAAUACAUGAUAUCUUGGCUCUGAGAGAGUGUUUCUCUAACCAUCCUCUGGGCAUGAACCAACUCCAGGCUUUGCACGUGAAAGCCUUGAGCCGGGCCAUGCUUCUCACAUCUUACCUGCCUCCUCCCUUGUUGAGACAUCGUUUGAAGACUCAUACAACUGUGAUUCACCAACUGGACAAGGCUUUGGCAAAGCUGGGGAUUGGCCAGCUGACUGCUCAGGAAGUAAAAUCGGUAAGAGCUUGAUUGCAACAUCAACCCUCAACCCUUGGUGUGCUUUUGAGCCUAUGGCAGGCCGGAGGUUUACAGGGGCUCCUUGUCUUGUUUGUUUAUAGAACCCAGCUUCUUUAUUCUCUCACUUCAUUUAUUUAUUUAUGAUUUAUUUUUAUUUAUUUAUUUAUUUUGAGACAGAGUCUCAUUCUGUUGCCCAGG
rnacentral:lncRNA from 1 species